UUUAAUAAUCAAUCAUAUGUUAAUAAAACAAUAACGAGAUAAUAAUUAAAAUUUUAGAUUCUAAUAUAAACGAUAUUAAAUUUAAUUUGACUAGUUAUGUAAGAUCUUAUAUUCACUUUAGAAUAUGAGUAUUACUUAUCAUCAAUAACUCAUAUAUUUUUUUUAGCCUUUGAAAAACACUCGAUUUAAGUUCAUAAUAGUUUUUAAAUUUCUUUCAAAUAUUGUGUCUACAGGACAACGAUACUUGCGUAAAAGUUUAAUCGUCUGUUUUACCAUCUCCGCAUCAGAGAUAUUCUCUUAACAAUGUGAGUUAUAUUCAAAAAGAGACUUCAAGUCUUGAAGUUUUAGUAAUAACUUAU
rnacentral:sRNA from 1 species